rnacentral:rRNA from 1 species
AUACGGAGAGUGCGAGCGUUGUUCGGAAUUAUUGGGCGUAAAGGGCGUCUAGGUGGCCCGGCAAGUCAGAUGUGAAAUCCCUCGGCUUAACCGAGGACGUGCAUUUGAAACUGCUGGGCUUGAGUAUCGGAGGGGGCAGCGGAAUUCCCGGUGUAGAGGUGAAAUUCGUAGAUAUCGGGAGGAACACCAGUGGCGAAGGCGGCUGCCUGGCCGGAUACUGACACUGAAGCGCGAAAGCGUGGGGAGCAAACAGGAUUAGAAACCCGAGUAGUCC